GACGAACGCUGGCGGCGUGCCUAAUACAUGCAAGUUGAGCGCUGAAGGUUGGUACUUGUACCUACUGGAUGAGCAGCGGACGGGUGAGUAACGCGUGGAGAAUCUGCCUUUGAGCGGGGGACAACAUUGGGAAACGAAUGCUAAUACCGCAUAAAAAAUUUAAACACAAGGUUUAAGAUUGAAAGAUGCAAUUGCAUCACCCAAAGAUGAUACCGCGUUGUAUUAGCUAGGUUGGGAGGUAAAGGCUCAACAAGGCGAAGGUUCAUAAGCCGACUGGGGGGGUGGUCCGCCACCUUGGGACCGAGACACGGCCCCAGACUCCUAGGGAGGGAGCAGUAGGGAAUCUUUGGGCAUUGACGGAAGGCUGACCGGGCCACGCCGGCGUGGGGGAGAAGGGUUUCCGAUUGGAAAACCUCGUUUGUAGAGAAGAACGAUGGUGGGAGUGGAAUGCUCAUCAAGUGACGGUACCUACCCAGAAAGCGACGGCUAACUACGUG
rnacentral:rRNA from 1 species